rnacentral:rRNA from 1 species
CGGACGGGUGAGUAAUGUCUGGGAAACUGCCCGAUGGAGGGGGGUAACUACUGGAAACGGUAGCUAAUACCGCAUAACGUCGCAAGACCAAAGAGGGGGACCUUAGGGCCUCUUGCCAUCAGAUGAACCCAUAUGGGAUUAGCUAGUAGGUAAGGUAACGGCUUACCUAGGCGACGAUCCCUAGCUGGUCUGAGAGGAUGAUCAGCCACACUGGGACUGAGACACGGCCCAG